rnacentral:rRNA from 1 species
AACGAACGCUGGCGGCAGGCUUAACACAUGCAAGUCGAACGCAUCCUUCGGGGUGAGUGGCAGACGGGUGAGUAACGCGUGGGAACGUGCCCUUCAGUUCGGGAUAACCCAGGGAAACUUGGGCUAAUACCGGAUACGUGCGAGAGCAGAAAGAUUUAUCGCUGAAGGAUCGGCCCGCGUCUGAUUAGCUAGUUGGUGGGGUAAUGGCCCACCAAGGCGACGAUCAGUAGCUGGUCGGAGAGGAUGAUCAGCCACAUUGUGACUGAGACACGGCCCGAACUCCUACAGGAGGCAGCAGUGGGGAAUAUUGGACAAUGGGCGCAAGCCUGAUCCAGCCGUGCCGCGUGAGUGAUGAAGGCCUUAGGGUUGUAAAGCUCUUUCGUCCGGGGCGAUAAUGACGGUACCGGAAGAAGAAGCCCCGGCUAACUUCGUGCCAGCCGCCGCAGUAA